UACGUAGGGUGCAAGCGUUGUCCGGAAUUAUUGGGCGUAAAGGGCGCGUAGGCGGCUUAACAAGUCACUUGUGAAAUCUCCGGGCUUAACUCGGAACGGCCAAGUGAAACUGUCAAGCUAGAGUGCAGAAGGGCAAUCGGAAUUCUUGGUGUAGCGGUGAAAUGCGUAGAUAUCAAGAGGAACACCUGAGGUGAAGACGGGUUGCUGGGCUGACACUGACGCUGAGGCGCGAAAGCCAGGGGAGCAAACGGG
rnacentral:rRNA from 1 species